GGAACGGCGUCGUUGAAUGAGGCGAGUGGAAAAAACGUGAGCCCAAAAUUGAAACCCAUUAUUUGCACUUCCCGAUGGAGAAGCCAAUGCCAUGGCGUCGGGCGGAUGUGGAUUGGAAUUCCUCUUGAUACGGUUUCCACUGCCAGAGAUUGGAGGCAGAGAGCACACCGCAACAGUUUAGGGUAAGGAGAUCACACCGUCGGUGCAGCCGCUCGCCGAUCCGUUUUACGCAUCGUCUGAGUCCAGCAUUCGUGAGGUGGGGCAGGAGCUGCUGGCACUGUGAAUGAAGCUGAACGCCCUUCGAUCAGCUUGUCGGCAGCGGAUUCCGGGCAGUCAACGGGCAGGGACGACCCUCAGGAACCAGCCUGUACAAAGAGGGUUCGUGCCUGUCUUUGAAGGCAUGUUUCUCAGUGUUGAGGCCUCGAUUGUCGUUCAUGCAUAAACAGGCGUAUACAUAGAGUCCUGGUAUUUGGUGUUAUGACCACAUGUUGUGCAUAUCUACUUGGCGAUUUGGAUGAUUUUCAUGGGUUUGUUGUGCGUCUCUGUUAUCUCCUCAAGUUUAUCAAGUUGGUAUGGUUAGAGGGUUAGCAGGUGUACCGUCCACAUUGUCAGGCCAAUACCACGGGUACAGGAUGGGGGCACCGGGGCUUGUGCGGCAGUCCAUGUUGGGCUAGCCGGUAACCAAUCCAGGAGUGCAAGCCAAAGGAAGAUUUUGCUGUAACUUAGUUGGACGAAAGAGGAGUGUACGUGCUUGUGUUCUUGACUGGAAUCGAGUAGUGUGUUGUUCUCUUCUGUACUGCUGCAAUGACGAAAACGACAAUUUUGUGAUGGAUUGCAGAGUUCGUGUUUGGUUCGGCAAAAGCAGACUGGAUGUUGAGCGGAAAAAAUGCAUGCAGGAAAUCAUAUGCGGAUGCUCGGAUAAGGCGAAGAAUACAACCACCAGAUCAUGCAGGUCUGAAUGUCACGCCAGGAUACAGCUGCAGCAUUCAGACCACUAUGGCCAGUACAUUAGUGAACACAUACCGGGCCAUAAUCACACUUACCGACAAGUGUUGCGAGAAGAUGCACAUUGAUGUGUAUGCAUAGAACAUCAUAUGGCAGUUGUGCGACAACAAUGUGAGUAUUGGAAAGGUGCACCAAUAUAAUGGACUCAUAGGGCUAUGUGGCGGUGUGGCCAGAUAAGUCGUGGCCAAGCAGUCAGCACGAUGUCGUCAGGAAAAUAAUAUAGGUUUUUGCCGAACUUGGGGCAAAAGACCAAGGGUUGUAUUACAUGGUCCAACUAGAGUCGGAGAGCCGGAUCAGGAACCUGAUAUAUCUACAUAAUUGAGCUGAAUGCAGUACAACUUUUUCGGGGAUGCAAUAACAGUUGACACAAGAUACCAAACAAACUUUUAUGACAUGUUGUUCAGAUAGUUUGUCUGUAUGAUUUCAAAGCACAAUAUGUCCCGGCAUGGGUGAGAUUCCAAAGAAUCCAAGAA